UGGAAGGUGAUGUGCUGAUCCUACAGCAGGCACAACCCGAGAACUGAAAAUGCAGGUCUGAUCACAGAGAAUGUCAGGCGCAACAAGCACAGUGAAUCCUUCAAGCCCAUCCACAGUUUUUAGGUUAUGUUUUUUAUUCUGAACAGGCUUUUUCAGAAUGGUCAGCAGUUAUAAUUGGGCUUGCAUCAGUGUAACAGCAAACAUAGCCACGAGUGUUUUGAAAUACUAGGCAGUCAGAAGAGAAUGUUUUCCUCCUUUGCAACAAGCCUAGCUGUAAUGCUGCUGUGGGAGCAGAGGCAGUCCUGGAGCUCCUGCCGCUGCUACCUGGCUGUAAGCUGCUUAAGGCUGUGAAAUGCUGGUAAUGCUUUUUAAAACAAACUUAAUAAAAAGCAACAGGCAGUUAUCUGGAUUCAUCUUAAAAAAGAGAACUCCUCAUAAAGCUUUCCUUUGAGAACAGAGAAAAAUUUGAAAAUUUCCUGUUGCUUUUAAGUAUGCCUCCAACAAAAGAGAGGAACUGGAAGAAGUUAGAUGCAGUAUAACAGAGGAUUAUUGUGACACUGUUAAUCGGAUAUGUUUGCCAGUUCAGUGUUGCAGAGAGUUGAGUGGUAUUUCAACCCCACCUGUGCUUUCCUCCCUAAAAGAGCAUUUCACAAGGGGACUCAGUGGACUGCUCCUACAGCAGCAGCCACAGCAGAGGUACCACGCAGCGUGUGAGGCAGACCAGGAGUGUGUGUGGUCAGACGCUAGCAGAAGGAAACAGACGACUUCACUCAGCAGUUAGCAUAGGUAAUGGCUGCUUUUCCCUGAGAUCCCUCUGCCCUUUGGGCAGCUUUUUUCUCUAUAUUUUGGAGGAGGUGUGAGAGGAGGGGGGGGAUGCUGCUGCUGAACGUUGAAUGCAAAGCACUUGGCUGUGAUAGGCUGAAGGGACGGGGGGUACUCUGCCUAUAUAUACUGGCAGCUGCAUCCUCUGUGCUCUACAGCUGUCACAGAGGAGGAAGGAGAGGCAGUGAGAGACAGAGGGGAAGGAAAGACCUCAUCAACUCCCUAUG
rnacentral:lncRNA from 1 species